AGAACAAAACAGCUUCUGGAGCCCAAAAGUGUAUGGAUUAACUAUCCAGCCUCUAUCGGUUGUGCUAGCAAAGGUAUUCAUGAAUCCAAUCCAUCAAAGGGCUGAGAGAAAACCUGGUUCAAAAUGCCCCAGAAGAUUUUACCUCCAAAGUAGAAGUACAUCUCACAGUCUCACAGUUUCUUGCCUGAUGCCUUAACAACUACACCAAACUGGUUUAAACAGAAUACUGGCAGAACACAGAGGCACAAUGUGGUAGCAGCAGUACCAGACCAACUAUCUCCAAAAGCGUCUCAGUCCUGACAGGAUUUUUGCAAAUAGGCUGAAAUUCAUGCCAACAUGAGAGAUGACUGCAGCAGCAUAAGACUGAAGAUAUACGUUUAGUUACAAAAACGUUUGCAGACUCUGUAAUAUGUUUAGGAUUGUACAUUGCAUAUUCUGUACUUUAUAACCUGAUUCUAGAACAAAAACCAAAUCUCCACAGAAUUGAACUUACAUGUACCUGAAUCAGAGGAUGAUGUUAACAAGGCCUUAACUUGGAAUAACAUCAAUUAUUGCU